GAUGAACGCUGGCGGCGUGCCUAAUACAUGCAAGUCGAGCGAAUGGAUUAAGAGCUUGCUCUUAUGAAGUUAGCGGCGGACGGGUGAGUAACACGUGGGUAACCUGCCCAUAAGACUGGGAUAACUCCGGGAAACCGGGGCUAAUACCGGAUAACAUUUUGAACCGCAUGGUUCGGAAUUGAAAGGCGGCUUCGGCUGUCACUUAUGGAUAGACCCGCGUGGCAUUAGCUAGUUGGUGAGGUAACGGCUCACCAAGGCAACGAUGGGUAGCCGACCUGAGAGGGUGAUCGGCCACACUGGGACUGAGACACGGCCCAGACUCCUACGGGAGGCAGCAGUAGGGAAUCUUCCGCAAUGGACGAAAGUCUGACGGAGCAACGCCGCGUGAGUGAUGAAGGCUUUCGGGUCGUAAAACUCUGUUGUUAGGGAAGAACAAGUGCUAGUUGAAUAAGCUGACACCUUGACGGUACCUAACCAGAAAGCCACGGCUAACUACGUGCCAGCCGCCGCAGUAA
rnacentral:rRNA from 1 species